GCGAGCGGGCAUGACAAAAAAGAAAGCCGGUGGCGGAAAUUCCCCCCCACCCCCACGGUUGCUAUUUUUCGUUAAAAAGCAUUACAAAGGGCAAGCGUGAGGAAUUGGUGGUGCCUCGUGGUUACGCAGCCAGGCCUGCUGGGCGCUUAAACCAGUGCGUCCAGUCAGGUAGCAUUAUUUUUCUAGGUUGUAAAUAAGCCUGAGGUUUAAACCCACUUACAUUUCUGUAUGGCAGUGUACUUGGUCAGAGAGCUCAGUCGCACUGACAGAGCUGGCACAGAGUUCCCUUGGGACUCCAGACUUGACUGUCUUGUUGAAAGGCUCGAGAGCCUGCUUUGGAAGUCACUUGGCAAGGCACAGCUUUGCCGUGAUUUUGGUACUUGAAUUCUGACUGUGAUGCCAAUGCCAUGUAUGCCCGUAUGAGGUUCAUGGGAACAAGGGAUGGCUGAUUUCAGAGCAUUUAAAACACCACAAACUCUUGAAGAGCUUAUAGGAUGCCAACCUAUUACAGAUAUCUGGCAGAUGAGGCAAGCUCCUGUUUGUUAUAGUCGGUACUUUUGUGAGGCAUGUCUUUGCCUAGUCCAGGGGUCCUCAAACUACAGCCCGCGGCCAGAUACGGCCCCCCAGGGUCCUCAAUCCGGCCCCUGGUAUUUACAGGCCCCCCCCCCGCCGGGGGUUGGGGGCGGAACCAAGCAGCCGCAGAUGACUGCCUGCCACUGCAUCCGCGCACCGGCCCUCUGGUUAAAAAGUUUGAGGACCCCUGGCCUAGUCCCUCUGAAAUUGCGACAAGGACUCAUGGCUGCACUUCAGGAGCAAAGCUGCCGAGCACAUGGGCUUUUCCUACUAGAAAUCAAGCAGCUGUUCUGGCAAAACUUUACUUUGGUUGCAUCUUUAAACCCUAGGAGGCCGACUGUCCUGGUUUCAGCUGGGAUGGAGUUAAUUUUCUUAGUGGCUAGUCAAGUGCUGUGUUUUGGCUGUGAUGUGAGAACAAUGCUGAUAACCGCACUGAUGUUUUUAGUUAUUAUUGCUGGGUGAUGUUUAUACUAAGUCAAGGACUUGUGGGUUCCUUGGGCCCUGCCAGCCAGAGGGCUGGGGGGCACAGGACACUGGGAGGGGACACAGCCAGGACAGCUGCCCUGAAGCAGCCAAAGAGGUAUUCCAUGCCGUGGGACGUGCUUGGUAUAGAAACUUGGAGGGUUAGCUGGGGGGGGAUCGUUGGUCGGGGACUGGCUGGGCAUCGGUCAGCGGGUGGUGAGCAGUUGUACUGUGCAUCAAUUGGUCUUGGUGGGUUUUUUUUCCUUUUCCCUUCCUUGGGAUUUUACCCUUUCCUCCCCACCUCUCCAUCCUAAUUGUUGUUACUGUUAUCACUGUUGUCCCUAUCUCUUUAUUCUAUUUAAAUUAUUAAAUUGUUCUUAUCUCAACCCUUCAAGUUUUGCAUGUCUUUCUGAUUCUCCUCCCCACCCCUCUGGGUGGUGGGUGGGUGGGGGUGAGCGAGCGGCUGGGUGGUGUUUGAUUGCCGGCCAUAGUUAAACCAUGACAGUCUAUUUUUUUGGAGCCAAACGUGGGGCAUCGAAGGGUUGAGAUAACGACAAGUCUAAUCGGACUGUGUUAGAUUAAAUUGUUUGCAGUAGUCAUUGUAUUAAAUUAAAUGUAAUUGGCUACAAUGCUGGCUUAUCUGUUUUUGAGUUUGCUGCCCAAUCUUUAAAUCCUGGUAGGCUGACAAAUGGGACACGCUGGUUAGAGGAAUGAACCUUUUUCCAGGGAAAGCUCCACUGACUUGAACUUUAAGCCUAAAUUAUCACCUUACUGCAUUUACUUUGUGUGUGUUAAUGCUUACCUGAUAAAUAUAUUUCAGUUGAUUUAUCAGUUUAGUUACAAGUUGGAGUAAGUGGUCCUUGGCUAUACAUAAACCUCUCCUCUGCUUUUUUAACAUGUUGUGUGUCAUAACACUUACUGUUGUACUUCAAUACAAACCAGGAAUGAUUCUGGUAGUGUUGCAAUCUAACGGUAAUACUGCAUCAUCUUGUCUGUGAAGAGAAGGGAAUCAAGCCGACUGUCGCUGUUCUACCAGGCAGGGUGGACACCCGAACAGCUUCGGUCUCAAUGCCCAAGCCUGGGCCCAGCCCAAGAAACGACUGUCUGCUUCAAUAAUUUGGCCAUAAGAUGUUGUCCUGGAGAAGGCCAUGCAUAAGUGCAUUCUGAAGCCGUUGAAGAGCCAUAAUGAAGCAAUGUUGAAAGUGUUUCAUACUGCAGAUGGUUUUUGGAAACAACUGAAGGAAAACCGUCAGGUGGUGCGGCAGAGGAAUCCUCAGGAACUGGGCGUGUUUGUUCCAACACCAGACUAUGUGGAUGUUGAAAGUCUGUGACCACGCAGAAAAUGUAUUCACCUGAAAAGAAAGUCGUGCUGCUGCUGAGAGUUUGCAAAUUGAUUUAUACUGUUAUGGAGAAUAACUCUGGUAUGAUGCUUCUUGUGGUUCAAGGUCAUUGUUUUUCUAAACCUGGGGUUGUGUUUUGGUGGAGGAGAUGAGACCACCUGAUUCUGCAGCUUUGUCUCCUUCUCCUGGAGCUCUUGUAGCAUCUCCUUGCCCUUUUGAGAGGGAUUCUUCCUCUCUGCUUCCUUCCUGAUCUCUCUGCAUCUGGCAGCACAUCUUACAAAUUCAGUGUGAAGCAGAGUUGUGAAGCAGCUUGAAAAAAAAUCCAACCACCAGCUUUGCUUGACUGUAGGCAUUUGAAUUUGGCUGUCAGAGAGGCUGUCCUGUAAGCCUAGAAUUUGACACUGGUUCUAAAUUAGUAUUUUCCUGGAAAUCGUAAUAAAGGAUGCACCCAGUAUCUAGCUGUAGUAAUUCAGCAGUGUGUAUGCAAUAUGACAAUUACAAGGGCUCUGUGUUAAUGGCUAGAGGAAAGCAGCCCCUGAUCCAGUGUUUUGGGUUUGCUGUGCCUCUGAAUGUUCUCAUUUGGAAAAUUUCUUUGUGUUUUUGCAAGAGAAAUAACAUCUAUUUUUACGCUGUAGCAGGAGUCCCCAAGUGACUUGAAACCUAGAUGGUGAAAUGGAACCACAGACCAGUUAAGACCCGCUUGAUUAGUCAGUGGCACAGUUAAAACGCUGUGCUGGACAGCAUGAAUUCAUAGGUGCAGCUCUAUUGCCUGACAUCUUAUCAUACGCUGCAGUGGUAGGUCACGAGCUAAGGUGAAGCAAUGCUGGUGGUAGUGGGAGAUUUUUUUCUCUUAAGAAAGUAUAAGCUGCUGCAGGUGGUUGGCAGUUUUCUUUCGAGCGCUGAAUCUGCAGCUGGGCUCUGUGCCGAUCAGGAUGCUUGCUUUCUUUUGAGAUUUGAGGUGAAUGGUGAAAGCUUGAGGCUGUGAAAGACCCCCAGGCACUUCGGCAAGAUUUGGGCAGGAGCUUAGACCUGGCUUAUUUCUGUGCAAAAUCCUGCAUUUUAAAAUGUAUAUAGGAAUCUUUGCCCAAAGUGAUGUAAACUUUGGUUUUUUUCUCCAUACUGUAUUAUCACAUUGAGUAAGGUAUUCCCAACAUGCAAAAGAAAAGUACUGAGAGGCUUCUGGUGAACUAUUGUACUGAGGGGCUUGGGCUAAGAUGCAGCAAGUGCUCCUUGGGGUUGUCUUGCUUUGUCGUGUAAAGUUUUAAAAUGUGGCAUGGAGCCAGCACCUGUUUCCAGUACCUGCUUUGUCCUGUAAUCUCAGCCAUAUAAUAGUGUAAUACCUGGAGGGUAUGUCUUAGCUGGUCUGACUUUCAAUAUCAGCCCUUCAGUCCUCUGGAGUUUCGCCAUAGUUUAAACUGGCUCCCAAUCUUGAUGUUUCAAGUGACCAUCACACCGCUUCUGCGAUGAGCACAGUUUGGCCAGACCCAGAGAUCUAGCCACAUAGCGUUUUCUAAAGAGAAAGUUUAAAUGCAGUAAGAGGAACACAUACAGACCUAGGUACAGCAGAGCCUCUGUGUGUUGCGUGCUGUUGUUACUGAUGAUGCUUCACCAGCUAGUUGGGAGUUACGUGAGGCUUUGCUCACUGGUGUUUUUAACCAUGAUCCAUCAAGGAAAUGUGCAGAGUUUUCAUGUAAAAUCUAAUAGGCUUUUAUAUACAGGCUUCUCUGCUGGGUUUCGGACUCAGGAACUGAUACUUGUGGCUGGAUCCUUCCAGAAAGGGGACGUCGUCCAUGCAUGUAUAAAGAAAAUGCCCAUUGAUUUUCUUUUAGCCACUGACAGAAGUGCGGGUGGAGGUCAGGCCAGACUGGCAUGGCUACUUCUUGUGAGUUCACCAGUUGAGCUGACACCAAGGUGAGCCCAGUCUUUAAAUUCCCUUGCGUGCUUCAAGGUCUGCAUCAUCCAGUUUGUGCUCGUUAGAAGUACAAGAUGAAGCUGGACGCUGCCCACCAAGUGUCCGAUGAUGUUCUCUUUGCUGCACAUCUGUAACGAGAGGCUCUAGAGUAAUACAAACCUGGUCAGUAAAGGCAGCAAAAUAACACUUUCCUUUCAAACACUGAAACUGGUAAAAGGGUGUGAUUUGUCUAUCGCUGCCUGUGUUCUCUUUGACCCAGGGAGGCUGUAUGGAGCUGAUGACUUCUUGCCUGUGUUGACAUAUGCGCUGGCCCAGGGUGAUACGCUGGAGCUGGAUACUGAAACUGAAUACAUGGUGGAAUUGCUGGAUCCAUCUUUGCUGCAUGGAGAAGAACUACCUUCGUGUUGCAUUCCAGGAAGUUCACAGUGCGUGUACAGGAAAGACCUUACUAUACCGGGUAAAGCGGAAGGCUCUGUGGCUGGGGAAGAGUGGCAUGGACAUGUUACUGCUCUCUCUGUUGCACCGGAAUUUCAACAGCUGGGUUUGGCUGCUAAAUUGAUGGAACUACUGGGAGAAAUUUCAGAAGUAAAGGGUUGAUUUUUCGUCGAUCUCUUUGUGAACGUAUCAAAUCGGGUUGCAGUAAAUAUGUAUAAGCAGCUCGGCUACCGUGUGUACCGGACAGUAUUGGAGCGCUACUCUGCUAGCAGUGGAGAGCCAGAUGAAGAUGCUUACGGUACGAGGAAAGCUCUUUGCAGAGUUACAGAGAAGAAAUCAAUUAUACCUCUGCCUCAUCCUGUGAGACCAGAAGACAUUGAGUAACUGUAAACUGUGAUUCUCAGACAACCUAGUAAGAGUGUCAGUUUCCUUCUCCCCAAAGCCCCCAAGAACUGUACAGAUGAGAAAUAUUAGGCUCAAUGUUUUUCCCCGUGAAAUACCAAAAAGCAAUAUUGAGAAGCUUACCAAUGCUGCUUCUGUCGGUAUUGGCUGCAUAUUCGUGCUCUUACCCUAUUGUUCUUCCUUUCGAACCAUGACACUUUGGAGACUAUUAAAAUGGAAUUGCUUCCUGUAUGGUGGUGUCAUGGUUUUCCUUCUCGGCCACAAAACAGUCCCCUCACUUUGUCACUCCCACGGAGCCCUGCUCCAAAACUGAAAACGUCUGGCCGCUGCUCCCACACAGAAGGUGCCAGGAAGGAGUUCUGUUGCUGGCUCUCGCCUUCCCUUUGCAGCCAUAUAACUGCUGCGACAAAACCUGGGCUCUGUUCUUUCUGAGCCACAAAACCAGAAAUUGGGUACAUCAAAAUAUACUCUCCAGAACUCAGAGGUCUCUGUUUCUCUGUGCCUUUUACUUACCUCAUUCCCUAAUUUAAUUCUUGGAUCCAUCUGUCCCUUCACAGUCUGUCUGGAUGUCACAGAUGCUGUUACUUGGAGGCAUUGACCAGGCACUUAGUUCCAACACAGGUUUCUGUCACUGUCUUCCCUGCAAUUUCUU